rnacentral:rRNA from 1 species
GACGAACGCUGGCGGCGUGCUUAACACAUGCAAGUCGAACGGAAAGGCCCUGCUUUUGUGGGGUGCUCGAGUGCGGAAGGGGGGUGAAAAACGCGUGUAUCCCCCCCUUAUCUUUGGGGUAUAUCUAGGAAAAUGGGGCGAUAACCGGAUAGGAUAUCUUGCUCCAUGUGGGGGGUUGGAAAAUUUCGGCGGUUGGGGAUGGACUGGAGGUUUAUCAGCUGGUUUGGGAGGUAGGUGAUUACAAGGGGUUUGACGGGUAGCCGGCAUGGGAGGGUGACCGGCGACAUUGGGACUGAGGUACGGCCCAGGCGCCUACGGGCGGCAGCAGUGGGGAAUAUUGCGCAAUGGGCGGAAGCCUGAUGCAGCAACGCCGCGUGCGGGAUGACGGCCUUCGGGUUGUAAACCGCUUUCGCCUGUGACGAAGCGUGAGUGACGGUAAUGGGUAAAGAAGCACCGGCUAACUACGUG